rnacentral:misc_RNA from 1 species
GAUCAGAGAGCGUUGGUGAAGAAACAAAAAAGAUAAGAUUUUUGCACCUUACCUUCUUCCCUUCGCUUCUCUCAAGACUCUGUGUUUAAGCCUUCUUCUUCUUCUUCCUCCCUCCUCUACUUCAAUUCAUCAAUGGCAUCUGCUUCUCUCCUCAAAUCCUCCCCUGUUCUCGAUAAGUUCGAGUGGGUUAAGGGCCAGUCCCUCCGCCAGCCCUCCGUCUCCGUCAUCCGCUGCAACCCCACCGCCGCCCCUUCCACCCUCACCGUCCGUGCUGGCUCUUACUACGAUGAGUUGAUCAAAACAGCCAAAACUGUGGCAUCUCCAGGACGUGGGAUAUUGGCUAUGGAUGAGUCUAAUGCAACUUGUGGAAAGCGUUUGGCUUCAAUUGGAUUAGAAAACACAGAGGCUAACCGUCAGGCUUACAGAACUCUGCUGGUUACUGCACCAGAACUCGGCAAGUACAUCUCCGGUGCUAUACUCUUUGAAGAGACUCUCUACCAAUCCACCGUCGACGGCGAGAAGAUUGUCGAUGUUUUGGUCAAGCAAGGCAUUGUCCCUGGAAUCAAAGUUGACAAGGGU